ACAAGUCUCCAUUGUUCCUUCCCCAGCCCGUGCCCAUAGUUCAGCCUACGCUGCCAACUCAUUCAAGGGGAAGUUCACCUUUCCAUUCUAAUUAUGCGAGCGAAUGCGCCGCUGCCUGCUGGGCCACUCAUUCCCAGGAACACAAAGUGACUGCAGAGCGAAGACGUGGAUUCCUCAUUAUAAUAACUAUGCAAAAACGAGUCGGAAUAGAAUAUUUUUGCAGUUCCUAUGACAACCGUGUCAUGAGUUUGAUGAAGAUGCAAAAAAUCUCAAAAUGGGGAUCGGCUGGAUGCAGCGGCCGCCUU